rnacentral:rRNA from 1 species
CGCGAAUGGCUCAUUAUAACAGCUAUAAUUUACUUGAUCUUGACACAAUCCUACUUGGAUAACUGUGGUAAUUCUAGAGCUAAUACAUGCAUUAAAGCUCUGACCUCACGGGAAGAGUGCAUUUAUUAGAACAAAACCAAGCGGCUUCGGCUGUUUCUGGUUGACUCAUAGUAACUGAGCUGAUCGCAUGGUCUUGUACCGGCGACGUGUCUUUCAAGUAUCUGCCGUAUCAACUUUCGAUGGUAGUGUAUCUGACUACCAUGGUGAUCACGCGUAACGGAGAAUAAGGGUUCGACUCCGGAGAGUUCGCCUGAGAAAUCGCGAACACAUCUAAGGAAGGCAGCAGGCGCGAAAAUUACCCACUCUCAGCACGAGGAGGUAGUGACGAAAAAUAACGAGACCGUUCUCUUUCGAGGCCGGUCAUCGGAAUGGGUACAAUUUAAACCCUUUAACGAGUAUCUAUGAGAGGGCAAGUCUGGUGCCAGCAGCCGCGGUAAUUCCAGCU